AUGCCUAGGAAAUUGCCCUGAUGUGGGGGAUAACCAUUGGAAACGAUGGCUAAUACCGCAUGAUGCCUACGGGCCAAAGAGGGGGACCUUCGGGCCUCUCGCGUCAGGAUAUGCCUAGGUGGGAUUAGCUAGUUGGUGAGGUAAGGGCUCACCAAGGCGACGAUCCCUAGCUGGUCUGAGAGGAUGAUCAGCCACACUGGAACUGAGACACGGUCCAGACUCCUACGGGAGGCAGCAGUGGGGAAUAUUGCACAAUGGGCGCAAGCCUGAUGCAGCCAUGCCGCGUGUAUGAAGAAGGCCUUCGGGUUGUAAAGUACUUUCAGUCGUGAGGAAGGCGGUGUCGUUAAUAGCUGCAUUGUUUGACGUUAGCGACAGAAGAAGCACCGGCUAACUCCGUGCCAGCAGCCGCGGUAAUACGGAGGGUGCGAGCGUUAAUCGGAAUUACUGGGCGUAAAGCGCAUGCAGGUGGUUUGUUAAGUCAGAUGUGAAAGCCCGGGGCUCAACCUCGGAAUAGCAUUUGAAACUGGCAGACUAGAGUACUGUAGAGGGGGGGUAGAAUUUCAGGUGUAGCGGUGAAAUGCGUAGAGAUCUGAAGGAAUACCGGUGGGCGAAGGCGGCCCCCCUGGACAGAUACUGACACUCAGAUGCGAAAGCGUGGGGGAGCAAACAGGAUUAGAUACCCUGGGUAGUCCACGCCGUAAACGAUGUCUACUUGGAAGGUUGUGGCCCUUGAGCCCGUGGCUUUUCGGAAGCUAACGCGUUAAGUAGACCGCCUGGGGAGUACGGUCGCAAGAUUAAAAACUCAAAUGAAUUG
rnacentral:rRNA from 1 species